rnacentral:rRNA from 1 species
CCCGCUGAACUUAAGCAUAUCAAUAAGCGGAGGAAAAGAAACCAACAGGGAUUACCCUAGUAACGGCGAGUGAAGCGGUAACAGCUCAAAUUUAAAAUCUGGCCUUCACGGGUCCCAGUUGUUGUUUGUAGAGGAUGUGUCGGACGAGGCUGUGUGUGAAGUUUCUUGGAGCAGACCGUCACACAGGGAGAGAAUCCCGUCUAGAACCGACGGCCGCGUCCAUGUCAAAUACCAUCGACGAGCCGAGAUGUUUGGGAAUGCAGCUCAAAAUGGGUGGUAAAUUUCAUCUAAAGCUAAAUAUGGGCCGGAGACCGAUAGCGCGCAAGUAGAGUGAUCGAAAGAUGAAAAGUACUAUGAAAAGAGAGUUAAACAGUAUGUGAAAUUGUAGAAAGGGAAGCGCUGGCAACCAGACUUGUGUGUGGCAGCUCCCCCCGUCUUUUGACUGGGUUAUUCGCCCAUAACCAGGCCAGCAUCGAUUUAGGUGGCCAGUUAAAGGCUCAGGGAAGGUACCUACCUACGGGUCGACUUAUAGCCCAGGGCGUAAAGUGAUCUACAUGGAUCCAGGAACGCGCUUUGGCCCGGAUGCUGGCGUAAUGGCUGCAAGCGACCCGUCUUGAAACACGG